UUAUAGAGUUUUCUAAACUCCCAACCCAUGUGAACUUACCUUUUGUUGCCUCGGCAGAAGUUAUAGGUCUUCUUAUAGCUGCUGCCGGUGGACCAUUAAACUCUUGUUAUUUUAUGUAAUCUGAGCGUCUUAUUUUAAUAAGUCAAAACUUUCAACAACGGAUCUCUUGGUUCUGGCAUCGAUGAAGAACGCAGCGAAAUGCGAUAAGUAAUGUGAAUUGCAGAAUUCAGUGAAUCAUCGAAUCUUUGAACGCACAUUGCGCCCAUUAGUGUUCUAGUGGGCAUGCCUGUUCGAGCGUCAUUUCAACCCUUAAGCCUAGCUUAGUGUUGGGAAUCUACUUCUCUUAGGAGUUGUAGUUCCUGAAAUACAACGGCGGAUUUGUAGUAUCCUCUGAGCGUAGUAAUUUUUUUCUCGCUUUUGUUAGGUGCUAUAACUCCCAGCCGCUAAACCCCCAAUUUUUUGUGGUUGACCUCGGAUCAGGUAGGAAUACCCGCUGAACUUAAGCAUAUCAAUAAGCGGAGGAAAAGAAACCAACAGGGAUUGCCUUAGUAACGGCGAGUGAAGCGGCAACAGCUCAAAUUUGAAAUCUGGCCCUUGGGUCCGAAUUGUAAUUUGUAGAGGAUGAUUUUGGUGCGGUAUCUUCCGAGUUCCUUGGAACAGGACGCCUUAGAGGGUGAGAGCCCCGUACGGUUGAAUGCCUAGCCUCUGUAAAUCUCCUUCAACGAGUCGAGUAGUUUGGGAAUGCUGCUCUAAAUGGGAGGUAAAUUUCUUCUAAAGCUAAAUAUUGGCCAGAGACCGAUAGCGCACAAGUAGAGUGAUCGAAAGAUGAAAAGCACUUUGAAAAGAGGGUUAAAUAGCACGUGAAAUUGUUGAAAGGGAAGGAUUUGUGACCAGACUUUUUCUGGGCGGAUCAUCCGGGGUUCUCUCCGGUGCACUUCGCCCAGUAAAGGCCAGCAUCGGUUUUCGGCGUGGGAUAAAAGCAGUAGGAAUGUGGCUCUCUANCGGGGAGUGUUAUAGCCUAUUGUAUAAUACCGCGCUGGGGACCGAGGU
rnacentral:rRNA from 1 species